GUUUUAAUAGUUUAAAUAAAAUAAUGAUCUUGUAAAUCAUAGAUAGUGCAAACUUUAAAACU
rnacentral:tRNA from 1 species